rnacentral:rRNA from 1 species
AUUGAACGCUGGCGGCAGGCCUAACACAUGCAAGUCGAGCGAGCGGCGGACGGGUGAGUAAUGUCUGGGAAACUGCCUGACGGAGGGGGAUAACUACUGGAAACGGUAGCUAAUACCGCAUACCAUCAGAUGUGCCCAGGUGGGUUGAGCUAGUAGUUGGGGUAACGGCUCACCUAGGCGACGAUCCCUAGCUGGUCUGCGAGGAGGACCAGCCACACGGGAAUGGGACCACGGUCCAGACUCCUACGGGAGGCAGCAGUGGGGAAUAGUGCACAAUGGGCGCAAGCCUGAUGCAGCCAUGCCGCGUGUGUGAAGAAGGCCUUCGGGUUGUAAAGCACUUUCAGCGGGGAGGCGUUACCCGCAGAAGAAGCACCGGCUAACUCCGUGCCAGCAGCCGCGGUAAUAC